UGGGAAUUUGGACAAUGGGCGAAAGCCUGAUCCAGCAAUGCCGCGUGUGUGAAGAAGGCCUUCGGGUUGUAAAGCACUUUUGUCCGGAAAGAAAUCCUUGGCUCUAAUACAGUCGGGGGAUGACGGUACCGGAAGAAUAAGCACCGGCUAACUACGUGCCAGCAGCCGCGGUAAUACGUAGGGUGCAAGCGUUAAUCGGAAUUACUGGGCGUAAAGCGUGCGCAGGCGGUUUGCUAAGACCGAUGUGAAAUCCCCGGGCUCAACCUGGGAACUGCAUUGGUGACUGGCAGGCUAGAGUAUGGCAGAGGGGGGUAGAAUUCCACGUGUAGCAGUGAAAUGCGUAGAGAUGUGGAGGAAUACCGAUGGCGAAGGCAGCCCCCUGGGCCAAUACUGACGCUCAUGCACGAAAGCGUGGGGAGCAAACAGGAUUAGAUACCCUGGUAGUCCACGCCCUAAACGAUGUCAACUAGUUGUUGGGGAUUCAUUUCCUUAGUAACGUAGCUAACGCGUGAAGUUGACCGCCUGGGGAGUACGGUCGCAAGAUUAAAACUCAAAGGAAUUGACGGGGUCAUAGCUG
rnacentral:rRNA from 1 species